UGGACCACCGAUGACGACUGGCUCAUAUGAGUUAUGAAUAAUGAAUAAGAUGAAUCUGGAAUUCUGAGGUUUAA
ensembl:snoRNA